AGGUCCCGAGCGUUGUCCGGAUUUAUUGGGCGUAAAGCGAGCGCAGGUGGUUUAAUAAGUCUGAUGUAAAAGGCAGUGGCUCAACCAUUGUGUGCAUUGGAAACUGUUAGACUUGAGUGCAGUAGAGGAGAGUGGAAUUCCAUGUGUAGCGGUGAAAUGCGGAGAUAUAUGGAGGAACACCGGUGGCGAAAGCGGCUCUCUGGACUGUCACUGACACUGAGGCUCGAAAGCGUGGGUAGCAAA
rnacentral:rRNA from 1 species